UACGUAGGGGGCUAGCGUUGUUCGGAAUUACUGGGCGUAAAGCGCACGUAGGCGGCUUUGUAAGUUAGAGGUGAAAGCCCGGGGCUCAACUCCGGAAUUGCCUUUAAGACUGCAUCGCUAGAAUUGUGGAGAGGUAAGUGGAAUUCCGAGUGUAGAGGUGAAAUUCGUAGAUAUUCGCAAGAACACCAGUGGCGAAGGCGGCUCACUGGCCCGGUACUGACGCUGAGGUGCGAAAGCGUGGGGAGCAAACAGG
rnacentral:rRNA from 1 species